GGGGCCGACCUGGUUUCGACGUGGGUACGGAUCCGGCGCAGGGCAUGCCGAGCACCAGUUCGCUCGUAAAUCCAUCUGGAAACAAAGUAACUGCGAACGACGAACGUUUCGCCCUCGCCGCUUAACACCGGUGAGCUUCUCAACGGCAGGCCGAUGGGCCGGGCCGAAGAUCGCAAGAUCCUAGGCUGAGAAGUCAUUCACAUCGGCUGGCGCUGCAUCGGGUCACUUGGUGCAGCGUGAGACCUAGGUGACUGGCCCCUCCCGCAGCGUGUGCCUGCGCGGCGGUGGGGCGAGACUCAAACCAGAGCACUAAGCAUGUAGAACUGUCCGGUGAUGGCUUGCGGACGCGGGUUCGAUUCCCGCCGGCUCCACCA
rnacentral:tmRNA from 1 species